AGUGAACGCUGGCGGUAGGCCUAACACAUGCAAGUCGAACGGCAGCACAGUAAGAGCUUGCUCUUACGGGUGGCGAGUGGCGGACGGGUGAGGAAUACAUCGGAAUCUACUUUUUCGUGGGGGAUAACGUAGGGAAACUUACGCUAAUACCGCAUACGACCUACGGGUGAAAGCAGGGGAUCUUCGGACCUUGCGCGAUUGAAUGAGCCGAUGUCGGAUUAGCUAGUUGGCGGGGUAAAGGCCCACCAAGGCGACGAUCCGUAGCUGGUCUGAGAGGAUGGUCCGGCCACACUGAACCUGAGACACGGUCCGGACCCCUCCGGGGGGCGGAGUGGGGAAUAUUUGGACAAUGGGCGCAAGCCUAACCCAGCCAUACCGCGUGGUUGAAGAGGGCCUUCGGUUUUUAAAGCCCUUUUGUGGGGAAAAAAAAGCGGCAGGUUAAUACCCCGCUGUUCGGACGUAACCAAAAGAAUAGGCACCGCCUAACUUCUG
rnacentral:rRNA from 1 species